ensembl:lncRNA
CAACAAAUCAACCUGCCGCUCUAACAAUUUACCGUGAAAAUUAGUUGGCAACACUGCUCUCAGCAGCUGCUUAGUCACUCCAUGACUCCGCCUUCCGCGUGUUCACGAGAUGGUUCGAAGAAACGUAAAUCUAUUGUAACAGUAGGCUAUUGCAAAAAUACGCACAACACAAACAGAUUGUCUAGCAAUUUCGUACUUUUUUCAGGAGGGGAGUUACAUGCAGAUAUUUAGGGCAAGCUAUAUGUAGCCUACUCAGCAUAUCAUACAAACUGCUUCUUGCUUGUGCUACGGCAAUUUCCGUUACAACAGACAGACCGUUGUAUGUAGACUUCAGAUACAGUGAGCUGCAAAAGUAUUGGGACAGUGACGUUUUUUGUUGUUUUGGCUCUGUACUCCAGCACUUUGGAUUUGAAAUUACACAAUGUCUGUGAGGUUAAAGUGCUUAAAGUGCAGACGUCAGCUUUAAUUUGAGGGUAUUUUCAUCCAUAUCAGGUGAACGUUUAGAAAGAAAUUACAGCACUUUUUGGACAUAGUCCCCCCCCCCCCCCCAUAUUAGGGGACCAAAAAGUAUUGGGCCAAAUUCACUUCUAUGUGUAUUAAAGUAGUCAAGUGUAGUUGUAUUUGGUCCCAUAUUCCUCGCACGCAAUGAUAACAUCAAGCUUGUGACUCAACAAACUGGUUGGAUGGGGGAACUAUGUAACAAAAAGUUUCUAAAUGGUACACCCGAAAUGAAAGCUGUCAGUCUGCACUCAUUGUAUUAUUUACAAUCCAAAACUACAAAAAAUGUGUCACAGUCCCAAUACUUUUGGAGCUCGCUGUAUAUUUUUGGAACGUUCGUUAAAAUCGCAGCUGUUCAGAAAUAUGAGGCAGAGAGAAAAGGCUCCAUCAUCAUAUCGAUCUAAUCGGUUGAGGCUUCAGAAGAGGGAGAUUCACCUGAGAUUCAGUCAAGGCUCCAUGGAGGAGUACCUGCUGGAGAGGGAGCAUGCUCUAGCAGUGGUUCUACCAGGAGGCCUGGAGAAAACGGCCCAGAUACAUGGGAGUAAACCUGUGAUGGACAUACUGGUCACACUCUGUGCCCUGAACCACCUGAAUCCAUCGGAGUUCACCAUAGAACUCCAGAAACCAAAUCUCCUUCAAUCCCAGCUCUCUGAUUGGAGCCAUGGAGCCUCACAGGAUCCUACUGAAACCUAAAGGGGGAGAGGAGAAGGAGGCUGUACGUGCCAGAGGUCACUUUACGUCUGCUGAUCAACUACAAGAAGAACCAUAAGGUCGUUGUGAGGGUCAGCCCUAGAGUCCCUCUGGAGCAGCUCCUGCCUGCGGUGUGUGUGAAGUGUG